rnacentral:rRNA from 1 species
UGUCCUACGGGCGGCUGCAGUGAGGAAUAUUGCGCAAUGGAGGAAACUCUGACGCAGCAACGCCGCGUGGGUGAAGAAGGCCCUCGGGUUGUAAAGCCCUGUCAGGUGGGAAGAAACCUCGAUAGGUGAAUAGUCUAUCGAUCUGACGGUACCACCAAAGGAAGCACCGGCUAACUCCGUGCCAGCAGCCGCGGUAAGACGGAGGGUGCAAGCGUUGUUCGGAAUUACUGGGCGUAAAGAGCGUGUAGGCGGUUUGAUAAGUCGAGUGUGAAAGGCCGAGGCUCAACUGCGGAAGUGCAGUCGAAACUGUCAGGCUUGAGUACGGGAGAGGGAAGUGGAAUUCCUGGUGUAGAGGUGAAAUUCGUAGAUAUCAGGAGGAACACCGGUGGCGAAGGCGGCUUCCUGGACCGAUACUGACGCUGAGACGCGAAAGCGUGGGGAGCAAACAGGAUUAGAUACCCUUGUAGUC